rnacentral:rRNA from 1 species
UACAGAGGUCUCAAGCGUUGUUCGGAUUCAUUGGGCGUAAAGGGUGCGUAGGCGGCGCGGUAAGUCGGGUGUGAAAUCUCGGAGCUUAACUCCGAAACUGCAUUCGAUACUGCCGUGCUUGAGGACUGGAGAGGAGACUGGAAUUUACGGUGUAGCAGUGAAAUGCGUAGAUAUCGUAAGGAAGACCAGUGGCGAAGGCGGGUCUCGUGGACAGUUCCUGACGCUGAGGCACGAAGGCCAGGGGAGCAAACGGG